AUGAAUUUAAAAAGAUGUGUGACUGACUACAUAAAUGAAUCACUACUCGUACCUUAUACAGAAGAGGAGGUAAAGAAAGCCCUAUUUAAUAUAGGUGAUUUAAAGUCGCCAGGACCAGGUGGCCUGCAUGCAUUUUUUAAAAAAUUCUAGCCCCUCCUUGGUGAUGAUUUGGUGAAGGAAGUUUUGACAGCCAUUAAUUCAGGAGUUAUUCCAGAGGGGUGGAACUCUAUCACCAUUGUCUUGAUGCCAAAAGUGGACAAUCCAGAGAAGAUCACCCAAUUCCGACCUAUCAGUUUAUGUAAUAUGGUGUACAAGAUGAUCUCGAAGAUGUUGGCUUCCAGAUUAAAGGUAUUACUUCCGGAUAUAAUCAGUGAAACUCAAUGUGCUUUUGUUCCUGGACGUAUCAUCACUGAUAAUGUAAUUGUGGCUUAUGAAUGUUUACAUACCAUGAAAAAAAGGAAGAAAGGAAGAUUUGGAACUUGUGUAGUGAAGUUGGACAUGCACAAAGCAUAUGACCGUGUGGAAUGGGUGCUUUUGUAGGCAAUAUUAUCCAAGCUGGGGUUUGAUGCAAGUUGGGCCCAGCUGGCCAUGUCUUGUGUUACUUCCAUGGAGUAUAAGGUACGAUUUAAUUCGAACGAGACGGUGUCGUUUACUCCGACAAGGGGACUGAGACAGGACCCUCUAUCCCCGUAUAUGUUUCUCUUAUGUGUGGAGGGUUUAUCGGCCCUAGUUAAUCAAGAGGUGGAAGUUGGCAAUUUGAAUGGUGUCCGGGUGUGUAGAGAUUCCCCAACAAUUUGUCAUUUAUUAUUUGCUGACGAUUCGCUUAUCCUGAUGAGAGAAGAUGCGAAAAAUGCAAACAUGUUGCAUGAGAUUUUGGAUGAAUAUUGCGCAGCUUCAGGCCAACUGGUGAGUACAUCAAAGUGUUCAAUCUUCUUCAGCCCAAACAUAAAAGUGGAGGUUAAGGCCGUAGUUUGCCAAAUCCUGGACAUAAUGACGUAGUCUCUCUCAUAUAAGUAUCUCGGGUUGUCGUCCAUGAUUGGAGUUGACCGAGUAGACUGCUUCAAACAUAUUACUGAGAGAAUCCAAGCUAUGGUGAAUGGAUGAAAAGAGAGAACUCUCUCCUGUGGAGGGAAGGAGGCGUUGCUGAAAGCGGUGGCCCAAGCCAUCCCAACGUAUGCGGUGAGUGUGUUCAAAUUCCCAAAAAAAGUAUGCAAGGGGAUCACUGAUGCCAUGUCGCACUAUUGGUGGGGUGAUGGGGAAAACCAGCGAAAGAUGCAUUAG
rnacentral:rRNA from 1 species